rnacentral:misc_RNA from 1 species
GAAAAAUUUCCCAAUCUGGUGUUCAGUUACAAUGUGUCAAACCAUGAAUCAAAAUCAUCGAUAAUUUUGGACUUCGAGACAGGUUGAGAAGCAGAGGAUGCAUGACCAGCAGUAGAGCUUACCUCAUUAGGUAGCGAAAACUCGUUUUUGUUAGUCACAAUGGAUGUUUCUUUGAGAAGAUCAUCCAGUGUAUCGUCCAAACUGAUAUCUGAUAUUGCAGGUUUGGGUUGAUCGUGGUCUCGCUUGGGCUGAGUGGAAA